rnacentral:rRNA from 1 species
UAAGCGGAGGAAAAGAAACCACCAGGGAUUGCCUCAGUAGCGGCGAGUGAAGCGGCAAAAGCUCAAAUUUGAAAUCUGGCGUCUUUGGCGUCCGAGUUGUAAUUUGAAGAAGGUAUCUUUGGGCCCGGCUCUUGUCUAUGUUCCUUGGAACAGGACGUCACAGAGGGUGAGAAUCCCGUGCGAUGAGAUGACCCGGGUCUGUGUAAAGUUCCUUCGACGAGUCGAGUUGUUUGGGAAUGCAGCUCUAAGUGGGUGGUAAAUUCCAUCUAAAGCUAAAUAUUGGCGAGAGACCGAUAGCGAACAAGUACAGUGAUGGAAAGAUGAAAAGAACUUUGAAAAGAGAGUGAAAAAGUACGUGAAAUUGUUGAAAGGGAAGGGCUUGAGAUCAGACUUGGUAUUUUGCAUGCUGCUCUCUCGGGGGCGGCCGCUGCGGUUUACCGGGCCAGCAUCGGUUUGGAGCGGCAGGAUAAUGGCGGAGGAAUGUGGCACGGCUUCUGCUGUGUGUUAUAGCCUCUGACGAUACUGCCAGCCUAGACCGAGGACUGCGGUUUUUACCUAGGAUGUUGGCAUAAUGAUCUUAAGUCGCCCGUCUUGAA